GCCAGGGAGUUGGAACAUGGGGCAUGUGUUAGGGCACGAAAGAUGGUGAACUAUGUCUUGGGACUGGGAAGUCAGAGUAAACAGUGAUGGAAGUCCGUAGGGGUCCCGACAUACAAAUUGUUCAUCCAACCUGGAUGUAGACAUAAAAGACUAACGGAACCGUCUGUUAGCUGGCGCUCUUGCAGAUAUAGUUUUAUUUGGUAAAGCGAACGAGUAAAGGUCUUGGGGCUGAAAUGGCCUCAAACUUUAAGUGGGUAAGAAGCCUGGCUUACUGGCGUAGAUCUGGACAUGGCAUGGAAGCGCUUAGUGGGCCACUUUUGGCAAACAGAACUGGUGCUAUGGGAUGCAUGGAAUGCCUGCUUAAGGUGCCUGAUGUGGGUGCUCGUCAGAACCUAGAAUAGGACUUGACAUAGACAGCAGGACAGUGGCCUCGGAAGUUGGAAUCCACUACCGAGUGUGUAACAGCUCACCUGGGAAUUUGCUGGCCCUGAAAAUGGAUGGCGCUGAGCAUCAGGCCCACACCUGGACUUCUUUGUCAGGGGACACAUGGGAGAGACUGGCAGAGAAGGGCUUCAGCCCCUGGAUCCCUCCCUGUAUGCUCUCUGACAAGGAGGGUCUGUGCGUAAGCCUCGACACCUUGGUGCAGCUACAGGAGCAAAUGUUAGUUGUCACAACAGAGACUCAAAUGAGAAUUUCGAAGGCCCAAGUGGAGAAGGGGUCCAUGUGAACAGGAGUUGAACGUGGGUCACUUGGUCCUGAGAGAUGGCUGAGCGCCUUUCUAAGGGGAUGGUGAUAGCUUCCAUUGCCAUUGUUUGAACGAGCCUGAUAACUCUGAUGAAUAAGACACAGAUAACUGCCUGAUGUUUUGAGGAAAAGGUGGUAAGGCUGUAUCGAACAGUUAGGAAUGUUAUAAUACCUUUAUUUAAGUAUUUUGUACCUUUAUUUAAGUACAUAAGCUGCCAAGGAAAGUAGAACCAUUUACU
rnacentral:ncRNA from 1 species